rnacentral:rRNA from 1 species
AUGCAUGUGUGAGUUCAGCAUUAAUGAAAAGUGAAACCGCGAACGGCUCAUUAAAUCAGUCUUGGUUCAUUGGAUGGUUAAAAUCUACAGGGAUAACUGCGGUAACUCUGGAGCUAAUACUUGCAAUCGCCGUGGCCUCAUUGUAUCAGUGUUGAUCAUGGAAGCUUUUAUUACUUGUAAGAACAAUUAAUACGGACCUGUGCGCUGGAUUAUUGGUGAAACAGAAUAACUGCAGGACUUCAGAUGCUAUAUGCAGGAAGUGCAUCCUCCAAGUGUCUGCCCUAUCAACUUUGGACGGUAGUGUAUCGGACUACCGUGGUUGUCACGGGUAACGGGGAAUCAGGGUUCGAUUCCGGAGAGGGAGCCUUAAAGACGGCUACCACAUCUAAGGAAGGCAGCAGGCGCGCAAAUUACCCAAUUCCAGAAGGGAGAGGUAGUGACGAAAAAUAACAAUAUGAUGCUUUGGUAUUGUGAUUGGAAUGGAAGGGAAGUAAAACUACCCUUGAGGAACAAGUGGAGGGCAAGUCUGGUGCCAGCAGCCGCGGUAAUACCAGCAUCCACAAGCAUAUACAAAAGUUGCUGCGUUUAAAAAGCUCGUAGUUGGGUCUGUGUAGACACGACUUUACAGGUCUGUUGCUAACGCACGGGCGAGUCAGGUCUCCCUUGGUAUCGAUGGCUAUUGCGCUUAAUUGUGUUGAUUGUCAUGAAUGCCUAAUUUACUUUGAAUAAAAUAGAGUGUUCAAAGCAGCCUUUGGGUUUGGAUAUGAAAGCAUGGAAUAAUAGAGUAGGACUGUGUCCUAGUUAUGUUGGUCACGAGCGACACGGUAAUGAUUAAAAGGAACAAAAGGGGGCAUUCGUAUUGCUACGCUAGAGGUGAAAUUCUUGGAUCGUAGCAAGACGGACUACUGCGA